AGGUCUGGCAAUUGGAAUGAGAACAAUUUAAACCCCUUAUCGAGUAUCAAUUGGAGGGCAAGUCUGGUGCCAGCAGCCGCGGUAAUUCCAGCUCCAAUAGCGUAUACUAAAGUUGUUGCAGUUAAAAAGCUCGUAGUUGGAUUUGUGGCUGUCACGGGCGGCCUAUCACUUAGUGUUAGUGCUUGCCUGUGUCGCCAUCCUUGGGUGGAGCCCGUGUGGCAUUAGGUUGUCGUGCGGGGGAUGCCCAUCGUUUACUGUGAGAAAAUUAGAGUGUUCAAAGCAGGCUUAUGCCGUUGAAUAUGUUAGCAUGGAAUAAUAAGAUAGGACCUCGGUACUAUUUUGUUGGUUUGCGCACCGAGGUAAUGAUUAACAGGGACAGUUGGGGGUAUUCGUAUUCCAUUGUCAGAGGUGAAAUUCUUGGAUUUCUGGAAGACGAACUACUGCGAAAGCAUUUACCAAGGAUGUUUUCAUUAAUCAAGAACGAAAGUUAGGGGAUCGAAGAUGAUUAGAUACCAUCGUAGUCUUAACCAUAAACUAUGCCGACAAGGGAUUGGCGGAGUUUCGUUUUGUCUCCGUCAGCACCUUAUGAGAAAUCACAAGUCUUUGGGUUCCGGGGGGAGUAUGGUCGCAAGGCUGAAACUUAAAGAAAUUGACGGAAGGGCACCACCAGGAGUGGAGCCUGCGGCUAAUUUGACACAACACGGGAAAACUUACCAGGUCCAGACAAAGUGAGGAUUGACAGAUUGAGAGCUCUUUCUUGAUUCUUUGGGUGGUGGUGCAUGGCCGUUCUUAGUUGGUGGAGUGAUUUGUUGGUUAAUUCCGUUAACGAACGAGACCCCUGCCUGCUAAAUAGCCUAGCAAAUGAGUUUUCAUUCGCCGGGGCUUCUUAGAGGGACGUGCAUUCUAUUAGAUGCAGGAAGAUAGGGGCAAUAACAGGUCUGUGAUGCCCUUAGAUGUCCUGGGCCGCACGCGCGCUACACUGAUGCGUUCAACGAGUUCUUCCUUGGCCGAGAGGCCUGGGCAAUCUUUUGAACGCGCAUCGUGAUAGGGAUUGACACUUGCAAUUAUUUGUCAUGAACGAGGAAUUCCUAGUAAACGCAGAUCAUCAAUCUGCAUUGAUUACGUCCCUGCCCUUUGUACACACCGCCCGUCGCACCUACCGAUUGAAUGGUCCGGUGAAGCCUCGGGAUUGUGGCGAGUUUCCUUUAUUGGGAGUUUGUCGCGAGAACUUGUCUAAACCUUAUCAUUUAGAGGAAGGUGAAGUC
rnacentral:rRNA from 1 species